CAUGGACCACCAACAGUCCAGGUUUUGUCAGUAUCCAUUGGAAUAAAACAGGGAAAUACAUAAAUCCUGGACUGUUGGUGGUCCCU